rnacentral:lncRNA from 1 species
UUGUUAACAUGAUUGUCAACAAGUUGCAACAACAUUGAUGGUUCAACAACUUGUUAACAAUAUUGUUCACGGGGUGCAGCACAACAUUGUUCGCUCCUGUUUUGAACAACUUGCAUCAACAUGAUGAUUUUUACGCGUGUAGUAGAGGGUUAUUUUAGACACCUGACCAUUUUCGCUGAAAUAUCCCAACUUUUUUGCGAACAUGCAUGCUUGAUAAGGGACGUCAGGCCUGUUGAGGAAUAAACGCAAUUACUUCAAAGAUAUAG